rnacentral:misc_RNA from 1 species
GAUGAAGAACGUAGCGAAAUGCGAUAAGUAAUGUGAAUUGCAGAAUCCAGUGAAUCAUCGAAUCUUUGAACGCACAUUGCGCCCGCCAGCAUUCUGGCGGGCAUGCCUGUUCGAGCGUCAUUUCAACCCUCGACCUCCCUUUGGGGAAGUCGGCGUUGGGGACCGGCAGCACACCGCCGGCCCUGAAAUGGAGUGGCGGCCCGUCCGCGGCGACCUCUGCGUAGUAAACCAACUCGCACCGGAACCCCGACGUGGCCACGCCGUAAAACACCCAACUUCUGAACGUUGACCUCGAAUCAGGUAGGACUACCCGCUGAACUUAAGCAUAUCAAUAGCGGAGGA